UACAGAGGGUGCAAGCGUUAAUCGGAAUUACUGGGCGUAAAGCGUGCGCAGGCGGUUCGUUGUGUCGGCGGUGAAAGCCCCGGGCUUAACCUGGGAAUGGCCGUUGAAACUGGCGAACUGGAGUGUGGCAGAGGGGGGUGGAAUUCCGCGUGUAGCAGUGAAAUGCGUAGAGAUGCGGGGAACACCGAUGGCGAAGGCAGCCCCCUGGGCUAACACUGACGCUCAGGCACGAAAGCGUGGGGAGCAAACAGG
rnacentral:rRNA from 1 species